UUGAAUAUUCAAGGUUGCUGAAUUAUUUUUGAAGACUAGGAAUAAAUGAUCUAGAUAUAUAUAUUAAUCUGUCCUUGCCUAUAUAAUUUAUAAGAUUUGAUAUUUGUUUGAAUCCAUUAAGAAGGGAGCCAAGGAAGAAGCAAGGGGAAGUUAGUACGGAAGAAAAAGCAAAAGCAAGGGCAAGUACUCCUAAGGGCAAGGGAGUUGUGAUUGGGGGAGCUUGAAGGUGCAAGAAGC